GUUCUCCAGUGGCGCAGUGGGUUAGUGAGUCUAGCUCUUAACCAGAAGGUUGGUGGUUCAAGCCCACCCAGGAAUG